GCUGGGUGUGGUGGCUCACACCUGUAAUCCUAGCACUUUGGGAGGCCGAGGCUGGUGGAUCACCUGAGGUCAGGAGUUCUAGACCAGCCUGGCCAACAUGGUGAAACCCUGUCUCUA
rnacentral:SRP_RNA from 1 species